rnacentral:rRNA from 1 species
AACGUAGGGUGCAAGCGUUGUCCGGAAUUACUGGGUGUAAAGGGAGCGCAGGCGGAUUGGCAAGUUGGGAGUGAAAUCUAUGGGCUCAACCCAUAAAUUGCUUUCAAAACUGUCAGUCUUGAGUGGUGUAGAGGUAGGCGGAAUUCCCGGUGUAGCGGUGGAAUGCGUAGAUAUCGGGAGGAACACCAGUGGCGAAGGCGGCCUACUGGGCACUAACUGACGCUGAGGCUCGAAAGCAUGGGUAGCAAACAGGAUUAGAUACCCUGGUAGUCCAUGCCGUAAACGAUGAUUACUAGGUGUGGGAGGAUUGACCCCUUCCGUGCCGCAGUUAACACAAUAAGUAAUCCACCUGGGGAGUACGACCGCAAGGUUGAAACUCAAAGGAAUUGACGGGGGCCCGCACAAGCAGUGGAGUAUGUGGUUUAAUUCGAAGCAACGCGAAGAACCUUACCAGGUCUUGACAUCGGAUGCAUACCUAAGAGAUUAGGGAAGUCCUUCGGGACAUCCAGACAGGUGGUGCAUGGUU